GACGGAAGGUGCAAGCGUUGCUCGGAAUCACUGGGCGUAAAGAGCGUGUAGGCGGCCAGAUAAGUCCGCUGUGAAAUCUCGAGGCUCAACUUCGAGCUGUCGGUGGAAACUAUCUGGCUAGAGUCCGGAAGAGGAGAAUGGAAUUCCUGGUGUAGCGGUGAAAUGCGCAGAUAUCAGGAAGAACACCCGUGGCGAAGGCGGUUCUCUGGGACGGUACUGACGCUGAGACGCGAAAGCGUGGGGAGCGAACAGG
rnacentral:rRNA from 1 species